GCAGCCGGCUUGGUCAGCGUGGAUUUUUACUUGGAACAAAAUAGUAAACCUCAGACAUGCAGCGAGGGAUACCCUACUGUUCUACACUGAACACCGGUGCUGGCAUAUAAGGUUAUGCCCUGUCCGCGCUAAACUGCCCGCACCUGCCAACGACUCGGGGUUCCGAACAGUGGAGACCAUCUCAGUGCACGGAGAAGGUUUCACUCUACAUGACGACAAACACAACAGUUACUCAAGAAUACAAUCAAAAAGUGGAACAAAAUACCAGGUGAGUGCCUAACCAUCCUUAUUUUAUGCAAUAGUGUUCAUAAUCACGAUGGUUAAGCAAUGUUCGCAUCUCUAUAUAGUACUUCUUUCACAAUAAGCUGUGUGACUUUUGAAAUACGGUAACAUGUUUACUAUGAUGUCAUUGCUGGGAAAACAGUGUAGCCUGGGUGCCAG